AAGAUCCUUGGGGGAAGAGGAGGGAACACUCACUGCUUGGGAGCUGCUGAAUCCUCUGACCAGGGGAUGCUGAAGAAGGUGACUAAGGUGGUUUCCAAGACCCUGGCCUGGAAUAUUCCCACUGCCCUUCUCUGUGAGUUAUUCUCCUCUACGGCUCCUGCAUCUUCAGAACAAACAACAGCAGAGCACGUGACUGCUGGAAACGCCCAGAUGGCUCCAGUCACAGGAUCCCUGCAUGUCCGGGCCAGAAUGGCCAGCACAGCUGUCCCCUUCCCUGUUCUCAGGUGAGGAAAUGAACAGCAUGUGGGAAGGCCACCCAAGCUCAUGCAGUGGCUCCAUGCUAGGACCCCGGCUUCCUGGCUACAGUCUAGACGCUAGACAUUUCUGUUCCUGUUGUGAGAAUGAUAGAGAACUCACAAGGAUGGGGGUCAGGAUGACAGAGCGUCAAAACCAACUAUCCCCUCUGCCAGCGGUGUGACCUCCAGCAAGUUACUCAACCUCUCUGGGCCUCCAUUUCCUCAUCUGUAAAAUUAGGGUGACAAUGGUAUCUGCCUCGUGAGGUGACACGAGAAUCCGCUUAGAUAACCCUCCCAAAGAUAACCCUCCAGCACCCUAUCUCACACAUGGUAAGUGAUAAUUAGCUAUCACAGAAAAUUCAGCUCCAUUGGAUUGAAAAUUUCUCCUCAAACCAGUGUGAGGAGCAUUAGCUUUUCAAGCAAUGAGCAGGCAUUUAAUUUACUCCUUUGGAAAAUUGAAGGGUUCUGUGUCGGGGAACUAUUUGGAUGACUUUUCCAGAAAAACAAGGUUGUGCAGAUGUCUUUUUUGCCUCCAUAGAAGAUUCCCAGCAUAGAACAGGGGCAACGGAGUCUUUCUGCUCAUCUAGACACUGCCCCUGGAAGCAGAGGGAGCCACCCAGGCCAGGCUGCUGCUGGUUUUACUCUGGAAGGCCUGCAGAAGCUCAGGGCUGCCCCAACUGCAGCCUGUCCUGCAUCUCCGGCUGUGCAGGGCUGUGGGAAUCCCUGCCCUGCCUCCCUGGAGGCUUCAGAGCAAUGACUACGCCCCACGGUUCAGACCCUGGCCGGGCUUCAAGCAAAACUGCUGAUGUUUACUAGGGCUGGGGCUAAAGAGUGCCUACUCACCUGGGCUGCAAAAUUUAAGGAGUGCCCCAAACCCCAUAAUCAAAAUACAUAAUAAUGUCCUGUAUUUACAAAACAAAAUUAAUUAAAAAAUCCAUGAUGAACAGAGCAUCAAACUUAAGUAAAGGCAGCAUUUGACCUUGUGCCGGCAGGAGCCUGAGAACAAGUGCCUUUCUCAUUUCGCCCUACCCCAGCCCUGAGUCUUGGGGCUCCUCCCAGAUCAGUGGAGUUGGCCUCUCUGGGAAUGGGAUCAAGAUGGUAAUAUUUGGGAAAAGCUCUUCAGAUAAUUCUGCUAUCAGAGGUUGAAUGAGGUGGCCUAUUGCAGAGGAAAGAGCCCUGUCUCAGAAACAAGAGAGUUGGAACACCGAGCCUCACUCUGCCACCAAGGACCUUGGGCAGGGAGAAGAUGGAGGUGGCAGCCAUAGCAGCUAACAGAGGUGGAAGCCAUGAGAGAGGCCAGGCUGGGAGAGAGGAAACUUUCACUUUCACUCACUUAGCAUGUUUCCAGGAUAUUGACCAUGUCUGGCCCUAGGCUGGAUCCAGGGGCUGACAGGUGAGACCACAGCAGCCCAGGCUGACAUCUCCU
rnacentral:lncRNA from 1 species